rnacentral:snoRNA from 14 species
UGGUCAUAUACCAAGGCUUUCAGGAUUGUACGUUCCUGACUUGCUGUGGAAUUGACCAGAAAAAAAAAAUCAUCCCAGUGGGCUUCUGCAGCAGCUUGCUGAGAAGACUUACUGGGAACAUGG